CCUGCCUGGCAGGGGGAGAGAGGCUGGAUGUGGAGAAGGAGAGCUGACUCUUGGGUUUCAGUGUUGUUUCUUUGAUGGUGUCUGCAGGCAACAGUGCAUUUCCCCUGGGUUCCUGGGUUUCCUCACCCACUCUGAUGGCAACACUGGGAGGUCUCCAGCACAGUGGUGCUCCUGCGGGCUGCCUCCCCUUGCCUCACCUGCCCCAGUCCUGAGGACUUCCGAAGUGUUCCUCAGCCCUGUGAAGUCGAACUGGUAGAG